rnacentral:rRNA from 1 species
GAUGAACGCUGGCGGCGUGCCUAAUACAUGCAAGUCGAACGCUGAAGUCGGAGCUUGCUUCCCUGGAUUAGUUGCGAACGGGUGAGUAACGCGUAGGUAACCUGCUUGGAAUCGUGGGAUAACUUUUGGAAACGAUACCUAAUCCCGCAUAACAUUAAAUGUUCCAUGACAUUCGCUUAAACUGUGCACUUGCGCCACUACCAGCAGGACCAGCGUUGUAUUAGACAGUUGGUGAGGUAGUGGCUCACCAAGGCGACGACUCAUAGCCGACGGGAGAGGGUGAACGGCCACACUGGGACUGAGACACGGCCCAGACUCCUACGGGAGGGAGAAGUAGGGAAUAGUAGGAAAUGGACGAAAGUCUGACCGAGCAACGCCGCGUGAGGGAAGAAGGUUGUCGGAUCGUAAAGUUCGGUUGUAAGGGAAGGACAAGUGUGAGAGUAUGAAGUUGAUACUGUGACGGUAUCUGACCAGAAAGGAACGGCUAACUACGUG